rnacentral:rRNA from 1 species
UUUUCCUACGGGGCGCAGCAGUGGGGAAUAUUGCGCAAUGGGGGAAACCCUGAUGCAGCAACGCCGCGUGAAGGAAGACGGUUUUCGGAUUGUAAACUUCUGUUCUUAGUGAAGAAAAAUGACGGUAGCUAAGGAGCAAGCCACGGCUAACUACGUGCCAGCAGCCGCGGUAAUACGUAGGUGGCAAGCGUUGUCCGGAAUUACUGGGUGUAAAGGGAGCGCAGGCGGGAAGCCAAGUCAGCUGUGACAACUACGGGCUUACCUUGACGGCUGCAGUUGAAGCUGGUUUUCU